GUGGAUUAGAUACCCUGGUCGUCCUGGCCCUAAACGGUGCGCAUUUGCUGUGAGUGGAAUCGACCCCGCUCGUGGCGAAGCUAACGCGUUAAAUGCGCCGCCUGGGAAGUACGGCCGCAAGGUUAAAACUCAAAGAAAUUGACGGGGGCCUGCACAAGCGGUGGAGUAUGUGGCUCAAUUCGAUGCAACGCGAAGAACCUUACCUGGCCUUGACAUGCAAGUAGUAGAAGGAUGAAAGUCUGACGAUCCCGCAAGGGAAGCUUGCACAGGUGCUGCAUGGUUGUCGUCAACU
rnacentral:rRNA from 1 species